UGAUGAUAAAAAAGUUAUAUUCAGGUCUCUUUUCUUUUUUUCUUCCAAGAAUUCUUUUGAUUAAUGUUUUCUGCUUUGUAGUAUUCAGGUUUCUGCAGGAGCUAACAUUGAAAGAACAAUCAAGGCAUGCGGCAUGGAAGGUAAUCCAAGAGGCCAGGAUUGUGAAAGAAGGCCAAUUUGAAGAUGUUGGACCAAAUUUGCAGCCUACUGGUUUGUGAAUAGGAAUGAGAAUCAUUUUCUGUCGUGUACAUGAGGAUUUUUCUGCCAGAAUCCAGAGGAGUAUAUUAAACAUGAUCCAAAAGGGUAGGUUAAAAAGGGUGCACCAUAGCUUGGGUGAUUUGGGAUUGCUAUGGACUAAGAAGCAAGAAAGAAGAUACAUGACUUACUUGAUGAUGUGAACGAAGAAGUUUUUGAGGAUGAAGAUGACUUUUUUGUGUAUUAGGGCAUGAAAAAUUACCUUUGGAUGAUCGUGUAAACUCAAAUCAAAGUUUUAGGACUGUGUGUACUAUAUUGUGCUUAUAUCGGUGUAUUGAGUGCGAAACCUACUCUGACUAAAUACUGCAAUGGAAGCAUAUUAGUGCAUUGGAAGAAAAGUUGCAGAAUGCUUAUAAUGAAAAUGCAAAACUUAAAAGUGAAGCAUAGGGAAGAUGAGAAGCUUUGGAGUGGACUAGAGUCAAAGUUCUCCUCCACAAAGAGCUUAUGCGAUCAACUUACUGAAACUUUACAAACGUUAGCUUAUCAGGUUCAGGAUGCUGAGAGAGACAAAGCCAUCUUCGCAAAUAAGUUGUCUGAGACUUCACAGCUCUUGAAAAUCUGAAUGAUCAAAUGAAGUCUCCUUAAAAAUCGUAAUUUAAAUCCUCAGAAGAUCUCCUUAAAAAUCGCGACAAAGAAUUGACGGAGCUUUGCAUUGACAAGGAAAAUGUAGUGAAACAACUCAGAGACAAACAAUGCAAAGUCUUCUGUCUUGUCAACGAAAAAAGAUAAUCUAUGCAAGAACUUUCAAGAGAAUGUAACAUCUCAUGAAUCAACCUGUUUUAGAAACUUAACAAAAACAUCUCAUACAUAUAUAGAGGAUUAGAUAGUUGCUUUAUGAUAUACAUACAUAUAUAGAGGAUUAGAUAGUUGCAGAAAUGUGGAUCUCUAAAUGACGCUUGCAGAGCUAGCAAAGGAUUUUGGCGACUCUAUUACGAAGAUGGAGCUAAAAAAUAUACCAGUCAUUCGAGUAAGGAAGUAGCCCCCUGUUUAGUUAAAUAUUAAGAGUAUAUUUCUAAACAUAUACUGUGUUUUCACACGGGUUCCAUGUUAUUAAAAGUUUUUAACGUAA